AAAAAAAAAUAUUUGGGGUUUUCGGGCUUCCUGAAGGUAAUACCUGGGUAUUAGGUUAUGGGUCUAUAGUAAGGUUUAAGGUUUUUGGCGUUAGGGUUAAAAUCACUGUCACAAACCUUUUUAGGAACAUGUUUCAGACCUUUUGGAGUUGGUUACACCAAAAAAAAUGAAAAAUGAAAAAAAAAUAUUUGGGUGUUCGGGCUUCCUGAAGGUAAUACCCGUAUUAGUUUAUGGGGCUAGGGUAAGGUUUAAGGUUUUUGGCGUUAGGGUUAAAAUCACUGUCCAAUAUUUUUUAAGGAACAUGAUUCAGACGUUUUGGAGUUGGUUUGACCAAAAAAAAAUGAAAAAUGAAAAAAAAAUAUUUGGGGUUUUCGGGCUUCCUGAAGGUAAUAUUAGGUUAUGGGGCUAGGGUAAGGUUUAAAGUUUUUGGCGUUAGAGUUAAAAUCAGUGUCCAAAACCUUUUUAGGAACAUGUUUCAGACCUUUUGGAGUUAGUAAGACCAAAAAAAAAAAAAAAAAAAAAAAGAAAAAAAUAUUUAGGGUUUUCGGGCUUCCUGAAGGUAAUACCCGGGUAUUAGGUUAUGGGGUUUUGGAAAGGUUUAGGUUUUUGGCGUUAGGGUUAAAAUCACUGUCCAAUAUUUUUAAGGAUCAUGUUUCAGACCUUUUGGAGUUAGUUAGACCAAAAAAAAGAAAGAAAAGAAAAACAAAUAUUUGGGGUUUUCGGGAUUCCUGAAGGUAAUACCCGGGUAUUAGGUUAUGGGGCUAGGGUAAGGUUUAAGGUUUUUGGCGUUAGGGUUAAAAUCACUGUCCAAAACCUUUGUAGGAACUCUUUUCCAAUCUUUUGGAGUUAGUUAGACCAAAAAAAAAAUGAAAAAUGAAAAAAAAAGUAUUUGGGGUUUUCAGGCUUCCUAAAGGUAAUACCCGGGUAUUAGGUUAUGGGGCUAGGGUAAGGUUUAAGGUUUUUGGCGUUAGGGUUAAAAUCAGUGUCCAAAACCUUUUUAGGAACAUUUUUCAGACCUUUUGGAGUUAGUUAGACCAAAAAAAAAACGAAAAAUGAAAAAAAAAAAUUGGGGGUUUUCGGGCUUCCUGAAGGUAAUACCCGGGUAUUAGGUUAUGGGGUUUUGGAAAGGUUUAGGUUUUUGGCGUUAGGGUUAAAAUCACUGUCCAAUAUUUUUUAAGGAUCAUGUUUCAGACCUUUUGGAGUUAGUUAGACCAAAAAAAAAGAAAAAAGAAAAACAAAUAUUUGGGGUUUUCGGGAUUCCUGAAGGUAAUACCCGGGUAUUAGGUUAUGGGGCUAGGGUAAGGUUUAAGGUUUUUGGCGUUCAGGUUAAAAUCACUGUCCAAAACCUUUGUAGGAACUCUUUUCCAAGCUUUUGGAGUUAGUUAGACUAAAAAAAAAAUGUAAAAUGAAAAAGAAAUAUUUGGGGUGUUCGGGCUUCCUGAAGGUAAUAUCCGGGUAUUAGGUGUUGGGGCUAUGGUAAGGUUUAAGGUUUUUGGCGUUAGGGUUAAAAUCACUGUCCAAAACCUUUGUAGGAACUCUUUUCAAACCUUUUGGCGUUAGUUAGACCAAAAAAAAAGGAAAAAUGAAAAAAAAAUAUUUGGGGUGUUCGGGCUUCCUGAAGGUAAUAUCCGGGUUUUAGGUUAUGGGGUUAGGGUAAGGUUUAAGGUUUUUGGCAUUAGGGUUAAAAUCAGUGUCCAAAACCUUUUUAGGAACAUGUUUCAGACCUUUUGGAGUUGGUUACACCAAAAAAAAUGAAAAAUGAAAAAAAAAUAUUUGGGGUGUUCGGGCUUCCUGAAGGUAAUACCCAUAUUAGUUUAUGGGGCUAUGGUAAGGUUUAAGGUUUUUGGCGUUAGGGUUAAAAUCACUGUCCAAUAUUUUUUAAGGAACAUGAUUCAGACGUUUUGGAGUUGGUUUGACCAAAAAAAAAUGAAAAAUGAAAAAAAAAUAUUUGGGGUUUUCGGGCUUCCUGAAGGUAAUAUUAGGGUAUGGGGCUAGGGUAAGGUUUAAAGUUUUUGGCGUUAGAGUUAAAAUCAGUGUCCAAAACCUUUUUAGGAACAUGUUUCAGACCUUUUGGAGUUAGUUAGACCAAAAAAUAACGCAAAAUUAAAAAAAUAUAUUUGGGGUGUUCAGGCUUCCUGAAAAAAAUACCCGGGUAUUAGGUUUUGGGGCUAGGGUAAGGUUUAAGGUUUUUGGCGUUAGAGUUAAAAUCAGUGUCCAAAACCUUUUUAGGAACAUUUUUCAGACCUUUUGGAGUUAGUUAGACCAAAAUAAAAACGAAAAUGAAAAAAAAAAAUUGGGGUUUUCGGGCUUCCUGAAGGUAAUACCCGGGUAUUAGGUUAUGGGGUUUUGGAAAGGUUUAGGUUUUUGGCGUUAGGGUUAAAAUCACUGUCCAAUAUUUUUUAAGGAUCAUGUUUCAGACCUUUUGGAGUAAGUUAGACCAAAAAAAAAAGAAAAAAGAAAAACAAAUAUUUGGGGUUUUCGGGCUUCCUGAAGGUGAUACCCGGGAAUUAGGUUAUGGGGCUAGGGUAAGGUUUAAGGUUUUUGGCGUUCAGGUUAAAAUCAGUGUCCAAAACCUGUGUAUGAACUCUUUUCCAACCUUUUGGAGUUGGUUACACCAAAAAAAAAUGUAAAAUGAAAAAGAAAUAUUUGGGGUGUUCAGGCUUCCUGAAGGUAAUAUCCGGGUAUUAGGUUAUGGGGCUAUGGUAAGGUUUAAGGUUUUUGGCGUUAGGGUUAAAAUCACUGUCCAAAACCUUUGUAGGAACUCUUUUCAAACCUUUUGGAGUUGGUUUGACCAAAAAAAAAUGAAAAAUGAAAAACAAAUAUUUAGGGUGUUCGGGCUUCCUGAAGGUAAUAUUAGGUUAUGGGGCUAGGGUAAGGUUUAAAGUUUUUGGCGUUAGAGUUAAAAUCAGUGUCCAAAACCUUUUUAGGAACAUGUUUCAGACCUUUUGGAGUUAGUUAGACCAAAAAAUAACGCAAAAUUAAAAAAAUAUAUUUGGGGUGUUCAGGCUUCCUGAAAGUAAUACCAGGGUAUUAGGUUUUGGGGCUAGGGUAAGGUUUAAGGUUUUUGGCAUGAGGGUUAAAAUCACUGUCCAAUAUUUUUUAAGGAACAUGUUACAGACCUUUUGGAGUUAGUUAGACCAAAAUAAAAAUGAAAAAUGAAAAAAAAAAAUUUGGGGUUUUCGGGCUUCCUGAAGGUAAUACCCGGGUAUUAGGUUAUGGGGUUUUGGAAAGGUUUAGGUUUUUGGCGUUAGGGUUAAAAUCACUGUCCAAUAUUUUUUAAGGAUCAUGUUUCAGACCUUUUGGAGUUAGUUAGACCAAAAAAAAAGAAAAAAGAAAAACAAAUAUUUGGGGUUUUCGGGAUUCCUGAAGGUAAUACCCGGGUAUUAGGUUAUGGGGCUAGGGUAAGGUUUAAGGUUUUUGGCGUUAGGGUUAAAAUCACUGUCCAAUAUUUUUUAAGGAACAUGUUACAGACCUUUUGGAGUUAGUUAGACCAAAAAAUAAAGAAAAAAGAAAAAAAUAUAUUUGGGGUUUUCGGGCUUCCUGAAGGUAAUACCCGGGUAAAAGGUUAUGGUGCUAGGGUAAGGUUUAAGGUUUUUGGUGUUAGAGUUAAAAUCACUGUCCAAAACCUUUUUAGGAACAUGUUUCAGACCUUUUGGAGUUAGUUAGACCAAAAAAUAACGAAAAAUUAAAAAAAUAUAUUUGGGGUGUUCAGGCUUCCUGAAAGUAAUACCAGGGUAUUAGGUUUUGGGGCUAGGGUAAGGUUUAAGGUUUUUGGCAUGAGGGUUAAAAUCACUGUCCAAUAUUUUUUAAGGAACAUGUUACAGACCUUUUGGAGUUAGUUAGACCAAAAUAAAAAUGAAAAAUGAAAAAAAAAAAUUUGGGGUUUUCGGGCUUCCUGAAGGUAAUACCCGGGUAUUAGGUUAUGGGGCUAGGGUAAGGUUUAAGGUUUUUGGCGUUAGGGUUAAAAUCACUGUCCAAAACCUUUUAAGGAACAUGUUUCAGACCUUUUGGAGUUAGUUAGACCAAAAAAAAAGAAAAAAGAAAAACAAAUAUUUGGGGUUUUCGGGAUUCCUGAAGGUAAUACCCGGGUAUUAGGUUAUGGGGCUAGGGUAAGGUUUAAGGUUUUUGGCAUGAGGGUUAAAAUCACUGUCCAAUAUUUUUUAAGGAACAUGUUACAGACCUUUUGGAGUUAGUUAGACCAAAAAAUAAAGAAAAAAGAAAAAAAAUAUUUGGGGUUUUCGGGCUUCCUGAAGGUAAUACCCGGGUAUUAGGUUAUGGGGCUAGGGUAAGGUUUAAGGUUUUUGGCGUUAGGGUUAAAAUCACUGUCCAAAACCUUUUUAGGAACAUGUUUCAGACCUUUUGGAGUUGGUUACACCAAAAAAUAACGAAAAAUUAAAAAAAAAAAAAUAUUUGGGGUUUUCGGGCUUCCUGAAGUUAAUACCCGGGUAUUAGGUUUUGGGGCUAGGGAAAGGUUUAAGGUUUUUGGCAUUAGGGUUAAAAUCACUGUCCAAAACCUUUUUAGGAACAUGUUUCAGACCUUUUGGAGUUGGUCACACCAAAAAAAAGUGUAAAAUGAAAGAAAAGUAUUUGGGAUGUUCGGGCUUCCUGAAGGUAAUACCCGGGUAUUAGGUUUUGGGGCUAGGGAAAGGUUUAAGGUUUUUGGCAUUAGGGAUAAAAUCACUGUCCAAAACCUUUGUAGGAACACUUUUCCAACCAUUUGGAGUUAGUUAGACCAAAAAAUAAAGAAAAAAGAAAAAAAAAUAUUUGGGGUUUUCGGGCUUCCUGGUUAUGGGGCUAGGGUAAGGUUUAAGGUUUUUGGUAUUAGGGUUAAAAUCACUGUCCAAAACCUUGUUAGGAACAUGUUUCAGACCUUUUGGAGUUGGUUACACCAAAAAAAAAAACGAAAAAUGAAAAAAAAAAAUAUUUGGGGUGCCAAGGCUUCCUUAAGGUAGUAUUAGGUUUUGGGGCUAGGGUAAGGGUUAAGGUUUUUGGCAUUAGGGUUAAAAUCACUGUCCAAAACCUUUGUAGGAACUCUUUUGCAAGCUUUUUGAGUUCGUUAGACCAAAAAAAAAAAGAAAAAUGAAAAAAAAAUAUUUGGGGUUUUCAGGCUUCCUGAAGGUAAUACGUAGUUUUUUUGGGUAUCGAGUAUUAGGUUAUGGGGCUAGGGUAAGGUUUAAGGUUUUUGGUAUUAGGGUUAAAAUCACUGUCCAAAACCUUUGUAGGAACAAGUUUAGAACCUUUUGGAGUUCGUUACACCAAACAAAAAAUGAAAAAUGAAAAAAAAUAUUUGGGGUGUUCGGGCUUCCUGAGGGUAAUUCUCGGGUAUUAGGUUUUGGGGCUAUGGUAAGGUUUAAGGUUUUUGGCAUUAGGGUUAAAAUCACUGUCCAAAACCUUUGUAGGAACUCUUUUCCAACCUUCUGGAGUUAGUUAGACCAAAAAACAACGAAAAAUUUAAAAAAAAAUAUUUGGGGUGUUCGGGCUUCCUGAAGGUAGUAUUAGGUUUUGGGGCUAGGGUAAGGUUUAAGGUUUUUGGCAUUAGGGUUAAAAUCACUGUCCAAAACCUUUGUAGGAACACUUUUCCAACCAUUUGGAGUUAGUUAGACCAAAAAAUAAAGAAAAAAGAAAAAAAAAAUUGGGGUUUUAAGGCUUCCUGAAGGUAAUACCUGGGUAUUAGGUUAUGGGGCUAGGGUAAGGUUUAAGGUUUUUGGCGUUAGGGUUAAAAUCACUGUCCAAAACCUUUGUAGGAACAUGUUUCAGACCUGUUGGAGUUAGUUAGACCAAAAAAAAUGAAAAAUGAAAAAAAAAAGGUUUGGGGUGUUAAGGCUUCCUUAAGGUAAUACCCGGGUAUUAGGUUUCGGGGCUAGUGUUAGGUAUAAGGUUUUGGCAUUAGGGUUAAAAUUACUGUCCAAAACCUUUUAAGGACCAUGUUUCAGACCUUUUGGAGUUGGUUAAAUCAAAAAAAAUAUAAAAUGAAAAAAAAUUAUUUGGGGUGUUAAGGCUUCCUGAAGGUAAUUCUCGGGUAUUAGGUGAUGGGGCUAGGGUAAGGUUUAAAUUUUUUGGCGUUAGGGUUAAAAUCACUGUCCAAAACCUUUUUAGGAACUCUUUUCCCACCUUUUGGAGUUAGUUAGACAAAAAAAAAAUGAAAAAUGAAAAAAAAAAUUUUUGGGGUGUUAAGGCCUCCUUAUGGUAAUACCCAGGUAUUAGGUUCCGGGGCUAGGGUAUGGUUUAAGGUUUUUGGCGUUCAGGUUAAAAUCACUGUCCAAAACCUUUGUAGGAACUCUUUUCCAAGCUUUUGGAGUUAGUUAGACUAAAAAAAAAAUGUAAAAUGAAAAAGAAAUAUUUGGGGUGUUCGGGCUUCCUGAAGGUAAUAUCCGGGUAUUAGGUUAUGGGGCUAUGGUAAGGUUUAAGGUUUUUGGCGUUAGGGUUAAAAUCACUGUCCAAAACCUUUGUAGGAACUCUUUUCAAACCUUUUGGCGUUAGUUAGACCAAAAAAAAAGGAAAAAUGAAAAAAAAAUAUUUGGGGUGUUCGGGCUUCCUGAAGGUAAUAUCCGGGUUUUAGGUUAUGGGGCUAGGGUAAGGUUUAAGGUUUUUGGCAUUAGGGUUAAAAUCACUGUCCAAAACCUUUUUAGGAACAUGUUUCAGACCUUUUGGAGUUGGUUACACCAAAAAAAAAUGAAAAAUGAAAAAAAAAUAUUUGGGGUGUUCGGGCUUCCUGAAGGUAAUACCCGUAUUAGUUUAUGGGGCUAUGGUAAGGUUUAAGGUUUUUGGCGUUAGGGUUAAAAUCACUGUCCAAUAUUUUUUAAGGAACAUGAUUCAGACGUUUUGGAGUUAGUUUGACCAAAAAAAAAUGAAAAAUGAAAAAAAAAUAUUUGGGGUUUUCGGGCUUCCUGAAGGUAAUAUUAGGUUAUGGGGCUAGGGUAAGGUUUAAAGUUUUUGGCGUUAGAGUUAAAAUCAGUGUCCAAAACCUUUUUAGGAAGAUGUUUCAGACCUUUUGGAGUUAGUAAGACCAAAAAAAAAAAAAAAAAAAAAAAAAAAAAAUAUUUAGGGUUUUCGGGCUUCCUGAAGGUAAUACCCGGGUAUUAGGUUAUGGGGCUAUGGUAAGGUUUAAGGUUUUUGGCGUUAGGGUUAAAAUCACUGUCCAAAACCUUUGUAGGAAAUCUUUUCAAACCUUUUGGCGUUAGUUAGACCAAAAAAAGAGGAAAAAUGAAAAAGAAAUAUUUGGGGUGUUCGGGCUUCCUGAAGGUAAUACCCGGGUAUUAGGUUAUGGGGCUAGGGUGGGGUUUAAGGUUUUUGGCAUGAGGGUUAAAAUCACUGUCCAUAAUUUUUUAAGGAACAUUUUACAGACCUUUUGGAGUUGGUUAGACCAAAAAAAAAUUAAAAGUGAAAAAAAAAUAUUUGGGGUUUUCGGGCUUCCUGAAGGUAAUACCUGGGUAUUAGGUUAUGGGUCUAUAGUAAGGUUUAAGGUUUUUGGCGUUAGGGUUAAAAUCACUGUCACAAACCUUUUUAGGAACAUGUUUCAGACCUUUUGGAGUUGGUUACACCAAAAAAAAAUGAAAAAUGAAAAAAAAAUAUUUGGGGUGUUCGGGCUUCCUGAAGGUAAUACCCGUAUUAGUUUAUGGGGCUAUGGUAAGGUUUAAGGUUUUUGGCGUUAGGGUUAAAAUCACUGUCCAAUAUUUUUUAAGGAACAUGAUUCAGACGUUUUGGAGUUGGUUUGACCAAAAAAAAAUGAAAAAUGAAAAAAAAAUAUUUGGGGUUUUCGGGCUUCCUGAAGGUAAUAUUAGGUUAUGGGGCUAGGGUAAGGUUUAAAGUUUUUGGCGUUAGAGUUAAAAUCAGUGUCCAAAACCUUUUUAGGAACAUGUUUCAGACCUUUUGGAGUUAGUUAGACCAAAAAAUAACGCAAAAUUAAAAAAAUAUAUUUGGGGUGUUCAGGCUUCCUGAAAGUAAUACCCGGGUAUUAGGUUUUGGGGCUAGGGUAAGGUUUAAGGUUUUUGGCGUUAGAGUUAAAAUCAGUGUCCAAAACCUUUUUAGGAACAUGUUUCAGACCUUUUGGAGUUAGUUAGACCAAAAAAUAACGAAAAAUGAAAAAAAAAUAUUUGGGGUGUUCGGGCUUCCUGAAAGUAAUACCCGGGUAUUAGGUUUUGGGGCUAGGGUAAGGUUUAAGGUUUUUGGCGUUAGGGUUAAAAUCACUGUCCAAAACCUUUUAAGGAACAUGUUUCAGACCUUUUGGAGUUAGUUAGACCAAAAAAAAAAACGAAAAAUGAAAAAAAAAAAUAUUUGGGGUGCCAAGGCUUCCUUAAGGUAGUAUUAGGUUUUGGGACUAGGGUAAGGGUUAAGGUUUUUGGCAUUAGGGUUAAAAUCACUGUCCAAAACCUUUGUAGGAACUCUUUUCCAACCUUUUGAGUUCGUUAGACCAAAAAAAAAAAGAAAAAUGAAAAAAAAAUAUUUGGGGUUUUCAGGCUUCCUGAAGGUAAUACGUAGUUUUUUUGGGUAUCGAGUAUUAGGUUAUGGGGCUAUGGUAAGGUUUAAGGUUUUUGGCGUUAGGGUUAAAAUCACUGUCCAAUAUUUUUUAAGGAACAUGAUUCAGACGUUUUGGAGUUGGUUUGACCAAAAAAAAAUGAAAAAUGAAAAAAAAAUAUUUGGGGUUUUCGGGCUUCCUGAAGGUAAUAUUAGGUUAUGGGGCUAGGGUAAGGUUUAAAGUUUUUGGCGUUAGAGUUAAAAUCAGUGUCCAAAACCUUUUUAGGAACAUGUUUCAGACCUUUUGGAGUUAGUUAGACCAAAAAAUAACGCAAAAUUAAAAAAAUAUAUUUGGGGUGUUCAGGCUUCCUGAAAGUAAUACCCGGGUAUUAGGUUUUGGGGCUAGGGUAAGGUUUAAGGUUUUUGGCGUUAGAGUUAAAAUCAGUGUCCAAAACCUUUUUAGGAACAUGUUUCAGACCUUUUGGAGUUAGUUAGACCAAAAAAUAACGAAAAAUGAAAAAAAAAUAUUUGGGGUGUUCGGGCUUCCUGAAAGUAAUACCCGGGUAUUAGGUUUUGGGGCUAGGGUAAGGUUUAAGGUUUUUGGCGUUAGGGUUAAAAUCACUGUCCAAAACCUUUUAAGGAACAUGUUUCAGACCUUUUGGAGUUAGUUAGACCAAAAAAAAAAACGAAAAAUGAAAAAAAAAAAUAUUUGGGGUGCCAAGGCUUCCUUAAGGUAGUAUUAGGUUUUGGGACUAGGGUAAGGGUUAAGGUUUUUGGCAUUAGGGUUAAAAUCACUGUCCAAAACCUUUGUAGGAACUCUUUUGCAAGCUUUUUGAGUUCGUUAGACCAAAAAAAAAAAGAAAAAUGAAAAAAAAAUAUUUGGGGUUUUCAGGCUUCCUGAAGGUAAUACGUAGUUUUUUUGGGUAUCGAGUAUUAGGUUAUGGGGCUAGGGUAAGGUUUAAGGUUUUUGGUAUUAGGGUUAAAAUCACUGUCCAAAACCUUUGUAGGAACAAGUUUAGAACCUUUUGGAGUUCGUUACACCAAACAAAAAAUGAAAAAUGAAAAAAAAUAUUUGGGGUGUUCGGGCUUCCUGAGGGUAAUUCUCGGGUAUUAGGUUUUGGGGCUAUGGUAAGGUUUAAGGUUUUUGGCAUUAGGGUUAAAAUCACUGUCCAAAACCUUUGUAGGAACUCUUUUCCAACCUUCUGGAGUUAGUUAGACCAAAAAAUAACGAAAAAUUAAAAAAAAAAUAUUUGGGGUGUUCGGGCUUCCUGAAGGUAGUAUUAGGUUUUGGGGCUAGGGUAAGGUUUAAGGUUUUUGGCAUUAGGGUUAAAAUCACUGUCCAAAACCUUUGUAGGAACACUUUUCCAACCAUUUGGAGUUAGUUAGACCAAAAAAUAAAGAAAAAAGAAAAAAAAAUUUGGGGUUUUAAGGCUUCCUGAAGGUAAUACCUGGGUAUUAGGUUAUGGGGCUAGGGUAAGGUUUAAGGUUUUUGGCGUUAGGGUUAAAAUCACUGUCCAAAACCUUUGUAGGAACAUGUUUCAGACCUGUUGGAGUUAGUUAGACCAAAAAAAAUGAAAAAUGAAAAAAAAAAGGUUUGGGGUGUUAAGGCUUCCUUAAGGUAAUACCCGGGUAUUAGGUUUCGGGGCUAGUGUUAGGUAUAAGGUUUUGGCAUUAGGGUUAAAAUUACUGUCCAAAACCUUUUAAGGACCAUGUUUCAGACCUUUUGGAGUUGGUUAAAUCAAAAAAAAAUAUAAAAUGAAAAAAAAAUAUUUGGGGUGUUAAGGCUUCCUGAAGGUAAUUCUCGGGUAUUAGGUGAUGGGGCUAGGGUAAGGUUUAAAUUUUUUGGCGUUAGGGUUAAAAUCACUGUCCAAAACCUUUGUAGGAACUCUUUUCCCACCUUUUGGAGUUAGUUAGACAAAAAAAAAAUGAAAAAUGAAAAAAAAAAUUUUGGGGGUGUUAAGGCCUCCUUAUGGUAAUACCCAGGUAUUAGGUUCCGGGGCUAGGGUAAGGUUGAAGGUUUUUGGCGUUAGGGUUAAAAUCACUGUCCAAUAUUUUUUAGGAACAUGUUUCAGACCUUUUGGAGUUAGACCAAAAAAAAAACGAAAAAAUGAAUAAAAAAAUAUUUGGGGUUUUUAGGCUUCCUUAAGGUAAUACCCGGGUAUUAGGUUACGGGGAUAGGGUAAGGUUUAAAGUUUUUGGCGUUAGGGUUAAAAUCACUGUCCAAAACCUUUGUAUUAACAAGUUUCAGACCUUUUAGAGUUAGACCAAAAAAAAAAGAAAAAUAAUAAAAAAAAAUUUGGGGGUGGUAGGGCUUCCUUUAGGUAAUACCCGGGUAUUAGGUUUCGGGGCUAGGGUAAGGUUUAAGGUUUUUGGCGUUAGGGUUAAAAUCACUGUCCAAAACCUUUUUAGGAACUCUUUUCCAACCUUUUGGAGUUAGUUAGACAAAAAAAAACAAAAAAUGAAAAAAAAAAAAUGUUUGGGGUGUUAAGGCUUCCUUAAGGUAAUACCCGGGUAUUAGGUUACAGGGCUAGAUAAAGUCAGGCCCGGAUUAAACCUUCUGUGGCCCCUGAGGCUUAGCAAACCUAAUGGCCCCCCUUUGUCCCGCGCGCAGAAAAAAUUGGCAGUUUUUAUUGGUCAUUUUGUGGAAAUUACUGCAGUUAUGGGUGGUUAUUUAACGGUUCCACUAGCCACCACCUUUAGCCAAACCACUGGGUUAAUACAACUGUGUGUCUGAACUCAAUUCAACAAGAGGUAGUGAAAAAAGUCUUCAAAGAAAGCACAGAGGCUGGUGUACAGUUCACUUUUUUACAGUAGAAAACCUCAGGCAUUUUAAAUCAUAAGUAUGUAGCAAGCAUUAUAAACAAAAGUGCAAGGCAUGAUAUGAAGGCCUGUUAUGGUUAUACAAUUUGUUUUGUUUAAAGGAUUGCUACACUGAGAUUUGAGAUUUAUAUUAUUUUAUAUUUGUUCUACAUUUGUCUGCGUUUGUGUUUUGAUCUUUCUUUUCAUAUUCUGUAGGGACUGAUAAAUGUCAGAGGUUAUGACACUGUGAUACUUGAAUAAAUGUUUUAUACCAUAUUUUGAAUUAAUUCAGACCUUUUGUGCAUUUAUUUUUGUCUUGUUACAUUUUUCCAUUAUUCCAAUUUUGGGGAGCGUGGUAGCAAUUUGAUUGACUUUCAGCCAUUUAUGGCCAUGAUGUGCUGUUUAUAUUUUAUUGCUUUUAUUACACAGUAGGUUGUGUCAUUUUUAUGUAUGAAACAUAAGCUUUUAACUAAAUUUACUGUAUAUAUUUCAUUGUGCUGGGUGCAAUUCACUUGAGUUGAGACGUUUUCUUCAAGAAAUUUGCUACAUUUCAUAAUCUGAAUUCACUUAUUCAUAUACUAAGGCACAAAUAACUGUUUCAGAUGUUAGGUAGAUGUAUUUAUGACAUCUGAGAAAGAUUUUGUCUUGUCAGAAUCAACAUAGCAGUUUCUACAGGCAAAAACUGCAGCACCAUGUAAUCGUUUUUUGUGUUACUCACAUAUAUGUACAUUUCUGGCUGGUCUUUUGUCUCACCCUGUAGAGAAAGCCACUUUCUAAUACUAGUUCUGUAAGUUUUCCCAACGUGUCCUUGUGAAGUCGAGAACGUCUUCACUCUGGACAGAUGAUAGAUGCAUAUGGCAUUGUUUCGUUCCUUUUUGAUGCACUUUUGAAGGCUGUUUUCUUUUUUUCCUGUUCUUUUCUUCCUCUUCGCUUGUCUGGCUGCUAGAUGCGCUCGUCGCCAUGUUUGUGUAUUUCUGAUACUAUGGCAACGAGACUCGGCUCCUAUUGGUCCACGUGACAAAAAUCGUUUCACCCCUCUGCAUAUUCGAUUGCGCGUGUGCAAGUAUCACUGCGCCGCAGAAAGGAAAUAGUUCGACACCGAAACACUGAUUACUAAAAAUCGACAGGAUGGCAUGAGUAGAUAUUUUUUUUUAGUACUCACUAUCAAUAUAGCUAUUUUAUGAAUCACAGUUUAUGUUGCCCCACUGAGGUGGAAUGAGAUUCACUUUCUAGGCACUUUUUCCUCUGUCCCAAUACAGCCUAAUCCUUCUCACACUGGGCACAGCUCAUCAGCGUCAUAGCGGCUUCUGCUCGGGCUGAGUGGCCCCCCAUAGGCAAACGCCCUGAGGCUUCAGCCUCACUAUGCCUCAUGGUUAAUCCGGCUUUGGGUAAAGUAUGAAAACUUGGAUGAGUGGCCAAAAGUACUUUGUCUGCUGUGAAAUCAAAUUGGAUUAAUAUUUUUUCCAGAUUUUUCUUUUGUACAUCUAUUGUUUUACUUCUUCCCUGUUCAAAACUAGCAAAUGUUUCAUUGAAAAUAAUUUUUUUAACCCUUUAAUAGCCCAUUUAAGACAUAAAAUCACUAAUAUAGCAAAAAUUUGAGCCUUUUAACUUUUUCUGUAGCAUCAGAUUUAAUAGACAACACCCUUUGGCGCCACCCAGUGGCCAUAACGACUUUUUCUGCUGUUAAUAGACAACUCCCUUCGGCGCCAGUCAGUGGCCAAAACGACUUUUAAGAAUGUGGAUUUUUGGCUUAUCUUUGGCGCCCCCUAGAACGUAGACCGUGGGGUGCAGCAUCAUGAUUUUUAUAACUUUGAAUGGCCACGGGGUGUAGAUUGGCCUGAGCAAAUUUGGUGUCAGUGGGACGAAAGCCUUAGGAGGAGUUAGCCACAUUCCAAUGUGUGCGAAGUAGCAAAAAAUGCGAAAUAGCCCUUUAACCGUAAAUUUGACAGAUACGUGCCCAUUGACUUUUUCGUAGAUCUUAUUGAGAUACACGUGAUUGUCAAAUUUUGUGUCAAUAUGACAAAGCGUACAGGCGUGACACUCAACAAUGUGUAUUUUCGCCUUAGGGGACAAGAAAAAAUGGACUUUUUUCUCCUGCCAUGGGGGGGCGCUCUUUUGGCGAGUAAAAAUUCCUUCACAAAUAUGUUAAUUGCUGGACAUUGCAUCAUCCUAGAGAACUUGGAGGCCAGUGAGGACAAAAAUAAAAAGUUAUAAGACUUUUAAGACUGUGGAUUUUUGGGUUAUCUUUGGCGCCCCCUAGAACCUAAACCGUGGGGUGCAGCGUCAUGAUUUGUACAACUUUGAAUGGCCAUGGGGUGUAGAUUGGCCUGAGCAAAUGUGGUGCCGGUGGAACGAAAGCCUUCGGAGGAGUUAGCGAAAUUCCAAUGUGUGCGGAUCAGCAAAAAAUGCGAAAUAACCCUUUAACCGUACAUUUGACAGAUACGCCCGCACUGACUUUUUUGUAGAUCUUAUUGAGAUACAUGUGUGUGUCAAUUUUUGUGUCAAUAUGACAAAGCGUACAGGCGUGACAGUCAAUAGUGUGAAUUUUCACCUUAGGGGGCGCUAUGGAGCCGUUUUGCAUUUUAUUGUUUGGGCGACUUCAGAAUAUUGAAUUUUUCACCAGGCCCGGUCGUCCUGCCUAAUUUCAUGAGUUUUCGCAAGUGGGAAGUGGGCCAUUCUCCAGUUCAAAGGGGAGGAAAAAGAAGACUAGGGCCCCGUUGGGGCACUGGCGGGCCCGAGCCGUGUCGCGCUGCCCCCCCCAACGCGCUGCCUCCCCGUCCCAUUCGCGUCCUCUGGCCAUCGUCCUCUCUGGUAACGCCCAUCACUGCAAAGACCCUUUCCUUCAUCGGCGUUUGCUGUUCUUCCUGCCAGUGCGUGUUGCUUUCACUUACACUUGCCACAGCCAGCCUCGUGAGUGCCUAGCCUAUUGGAUAUCACUGUCAUCUACACAGGACAGUCAUAACCUUUCUAUUAAUACUUUGUUUUUUAAUUUCACAUUAAUUUCCAUAUUGUAUAAAUGACUGGAAAAAACUUGAGCCCCUGCCCCUGUAUAAUCAUGUGCACGUCCCUGUUCUAGCUCCAAGGUGAAUCUUCACUGCUCAUGUUCUCCUCAGAAAUAGUCACCUCACUCCCCUCAGGUUACUGUACACAUGCACCAACUAUCUGCUUCAGGUUUGGAUGGAGCUUCAUGGUUGUCUUUUGGAGAAAUGAACAGUCAAGUUGUGUUUGAAAUUUGAUUUUUUUCAGGGGCAAAAGGAAGCCUCUGCAUUCUUGUCAAAUAUGUAAACAGCAUGUUUUUGCAGGUGCUAAAAAACAGACUCUGAGUGUGUGUGUGUGUGUGUGUGUGUGUGUGUGUGUGUGUGUGUGUGUGUGUGUGUGUUGGCGUGUGUGUAUAUGUGUGUGUAUCCUGCAGUACUCUGUACUCCUGCAGUGGCCAAAAAGACUUUUAAGAAUGUGGAUUUUUGGGUCAUCUUUGGCGCCCCCUAGAACUGCAGUACUCUGUACUCCUGCAGUGGCCAAAAUGACUUUUAAGAAUGUGGAUUUUUGGGUCAUCUUUGGCGCCCCCUAGAACGUAAACCGUGGGGUGCAGCAUCAUGGUUUUUACAACUUUGAAUGGGCAUGGGGUGUAGAUUGCCCUGAGCAAAUUUGGUAUCAGUGGGACGAAAGCCUUAGGAGGAGAUAGCCACAUUCCAAUGUGUGCGAAUCGGCAAAAAAUGCGAAAUAGCCCUUUAACCGUACAUUAUACAGAUACGUGCUCUUUGACUUUUUCGUAGAUCUAAUUGAGAUACACAUGAUUGUCAAUUUUUGUGUCAAUAUGACAAAGCGUUCAGGCGUGACACUCAACAAUGUGUAUUUUCAUGUAAGGGGACAAGAAAAAAUUGACUUUUUUCUCCUGCCAUGGGGGGGCGCUCUUUUGGGGAGUAAAAAUUCCUUCACAAAUGUGUUGAUGGCUGGACAUUGCAUCAUCCUAGAAAACUUGGAGGGCAGUGAGGACAAAAAUAAAAAGUUAUAAGACUUUUAAGAAUGUGGAUUUUUGGGUUAUCUUUGGCGCCCCCUAGAACCUAAA